AGCGAACGCUGGCGGCAGGCCUAACACAUGCAAGUCGAACGAACUCUUCGGAGUUAGUGGCGGACGGGUGAGUAACACGUGGGAACGUGCCUUUUGGUUCGGAAUAACUCAGGGAAACUUGUGCUAAUACCGAAUGUGCCCUUCGGGGGAAAGAUUUAUCGCCAUUAGAGCGGCCCGCGUCUGAUUAGCUAGUUGGUGAGGUAACGGCCCACCAAGGCGACGAUCAGUAGCUGGUCUGAGAGGAUGACCAGCCACACUGGGACUGAGACACGGCCCAGACUCCUACGGGAGGCAGCAGUGGGGAAUCUUGCGCAAUGGGCGGAAGCCUGACGCAGCCAUGCCGCGUGAAUGAUGAAGGUCUUAGGAUUGUAAAAUUCUUUCACCGGGGACGAUAAUGACGGUACCCGGAGAAGAAGCCCCGGCUAACUUCGUG
rnacentral:rRNA from 1 species